rnacentral:rRNA from 1 species
AGCAGCCGCGGUAAUUCCAGCUCCAAUAGCGUAUAUUAAAGUUGUUGCGGUUAAAAAGCUCGUAGUUGAAUUUCGGGAUCAAUACGUCGGUCGUGCUUCGGUACGUACUGGCGUCAUUGAUUUCUCCUUUCUGAAGAACCAUGAUGUCAUUUAUUUGGUGUCAUGGGGAAUCAGGACUGUUACUUUGAAAAAAUUAGAGUGUUUAAAGCAGGCUCACGCUUGAAUACAUUAGCAUGGAAUAAUGAAAUAGGACGUUUGAUUCUAUUUUGUUGGUUUCUAGGAUCGACGUAAUGAUUAAUAGGGAUAGUUGGGGGCAUCAGUAUUCAAUUGUCAGAGGUGAAAUUCUUGGAUUUAUUGAAGACUAACUACUGCGAAAGCAUUUGCCAAGGAUGUUUUCAUUAAUCAAGAACGAAAGUUAGGGGAUCGAAGACGAUCAGAUACCGUCGUAGU